rnacentral:piRNA from 1 species
UGGGAUUACAGGAAUAGGUUUUCAAAU